UGACAAACUUCAAGUUUAUCCCUUUGUCAGAUCUACUUCAUUCUGGAAAUAGACGGAUGGCACCCCAGACCUUUCCAACUCAUAAAUCGUCACCUUUUUCGGUUGUUCUCUCAAAAACCUUUCAACCUCUCAAUUUUUCUAGUGAC
ensembl:ncRNA ZK512.12 ncRNA